AGAGUUUGAUUCUGGCUCAGGACGAACGCUGGCGGCGUGCUUAACACAUGCAAGUCGAACGAUGAAGCCUAGCUUGCUAGGUGGAUUAGUGGCGAACGGGUGAGUAAUACGUGAGUAACCUACCUUUAACUCUGGGAUAAGCCUGGGAAACUGGGUCUAAUACCGGAUACGACCAAUCUCCGCAUGGGGUGUUGGUGGAAAGCGUUAUGUAGUGGUUAUAGAUGGGCUCACGGCCUAUCAGCUUGUUGGUGAGGUAACGGCUCACCAAGGCGACGACGGGUAGCCGGCCUGAGAGGGUGACCGGCCACACUGGGACUGAGACACGGCCCAGACUCCUACGGGAGGCAGCAGUGGGGAAUAUUGCACAAUGGGCGCAAGCCUGAUGCAGCGACGCCGCGUGAGGGAUGACGGCCUUCGGGUUGUAAACCUCUGUUAGCAGGGAAGAAGAGAGAUUGACGGUACCUGCAGAGAAAGCGCCGGCUAACUACGUGCCAGCAGCCGCGGUAAUACGUAGGGCGCGAGCGUUGUCCGGAAUUAUUGGGCGUAAAGAGCUUGUAGGCGGUUUGUCGCGUCUGCUGUGAAAGGCCGGAGCUUAACUCCGUGUAUUGCAGUGGGUACGGGCAGACUAGAGUGCAGUAGGGGAGACUGGAAUUCCUGGUGUAGCGGUGGAAUGCGCAGAUAUCAGGAGGAACACCGAUGGCGAAGGCAGGUCUCUGGGCUGUAACUGACGCUGAGAAGCGAAAGCAUGGGGAGCGAACAGGAUUAGAUACCCUGGUAGUCCAUGCCGUAAACGUUGGGCACUAGGUGUGGGGGACAUUCCACGUUUUCCGCGCCGUAGCUAACGCAUUAAGUGCCCCGCCUGGGGAGUACGGCCGCAAGGCUAAAACUCAAAGGAAUUGACGGGGGCCCGCACAAGCGGCGGAGCAUGCGGAUUAAUUCGAUGCAACGCGAAGAACCUUACCAAGGCUUGACAUAUACUGGACCGCAUCAGAGAUGGUGUUUCCCUUCGGGGCUGGUAUACAGGUGGUGCAUGGUUGUCGUCAGCUCGUGUCGUGAGAUGUUGGGUUAAGUCCCGCAACGAGCGCAACCC
rnacentral:rRNA from 1 species